rnacentral:rRNA from 1 species
GAACCGGUUGACGUUGAAAAGUCUUCGGAUGACCUGUGGGUAGGGGUGAAAGGCCAAUCAAACUGAGAGAUAGCUCGUUCUCCCCGAAAUGUUUUUAGGAACAGCCUCGGAUAUAGAAGUUUACUAGAGGUAGAGCUACUGAUUGGGCUAGGGGGCUUCACCGCCUACCAAACCCUGACAAACUCCGAAUGCUAGUAAAUAUCUCCGGGAGUGAGGCUGCGGGUGCUAAGAUCCGUGGCCGAGAGGGAAAUAACCCAGAUUAGCAGCUAAGGUCCCUAAGCGUAUGUUAAGUUGAUCAAACGAGGUGGAGUUUCUAUAACAGCCAGGAUGUUGGCUUGGAAGCAGCCAUUCAUUUAAAGAGUGCGUAACAGCUCACUGGUCGAGAGACUCUGCACGGAAAAUAAUCGGGCAUCAAACAUACCACCGAAGCUCUAAGAUUGCCGCCAGGCGGUAUAUCGGUAGGGGAGCAUUCUGAUCUGCGUCGAAGGUGUGAGGCGACUCAUGCUGGAGCGGUCAGAAACGAAAAUGUAGGCAUAAGUAGCGAUAAAAGUAGUGAAAAACUACUUCACCGUAAGACUAAGGGUUCCUGAUCAACGUUAAUCGGAUCAGGGUUAGUCGGGUCCUUAGGCAAACCCGAAAGGGGCAGCUGAUGGCAAACUGGUUAAUAUUCCAGUACCCGCUUUAGUUUCGAUGGGGUGACGGGGUAGUGAACAACCUGCGAGGCAACGGAUGUUCUCGUUAAAGCGUGUAGUUAUAUCUUUUAUAGGCAAAUCCGUAAGAGAUGGCGAACGUGAUAGUACUCGGAAGCUUCGGCCGAAGAGAUAAUGGUUCUAAUCAUACCCCCGAGAAAAACCUCUAAGGUUAGGCUAAAGCGGCCCGUACCGUAAACCGACACAGGUAGUCGAGGAGAAUAUCCUAAGGUGCUCGGGUGAGCCGCGGAGAAGGAACUAGGCAAAUUGAUGCUGUAACUUCGGGAUAAAGCAUACCACACUAUGUGUGGUCUCAGUAAAAUGGUUCAACCAACUGUUUAACAAAAACACAGGGCCCUGCAAAAUCGUAAGAUGACGUAUAGAGCCUGAUACCUGCCCGGUGCUGGAAGGUUAAGAGGAGAGGUGCAAGCUUUGAAUCGAAGCCCCAGUAAACGGCGGCCGUAACAAUAACGGUCCUAAGGUAGCGA